AAAAAAAAAAAAAAAAAAAAAGGGUCUUUGCUGUCACAAUUAAGCCUCUCAACAUGAGAUCAUCCUGGAUUGUUUAGAUGGGCCCUAAAUAUCACAACUAGAGUUUUGUUGUUGUUGUUGUUGGUUUGUUUCUUUGUUUUUGUGACGGAGUCUCACUCUAUCACCCGGCUGGAGUGCAGUGGUGUGAUCUUGGCUCACUGCAACCUCCACCUCCCGGGUCCAAGCGACUUUCCUGCCUCACCGUCCUGAGUAGCUGGGAUGACAGGUGCCCCCACCACACCCAGCCUAAUUUUUGUAUUUUUAGUAGAGACGGGGUUUCACCAUGUUGGCCAGGCUGGUCUCGAACUCCUGACCUCAAGCGAACAACUAGCAUUUUUAUAAACUACAGAAGACGGUGGCUAUUCAUCUGCCCCCUCUCUCCUGGGUAUUUGCGUGUCAGGUGCAGAGAUGGAGUCUUCUGAGGGCGCACAUCACAGCGUAGACAGAAAGUUGAGGUUGUACAUGCCGCAGGUUCCAGAUGGAAAUCACUAGUGCCUCCUCUUCUCUCUAAUAGGCACACUAGACACAGCAGGUGCAUUUUGGCGGUGGGAUGAGGUCCGACAGUCACCUUUAUUUUUUAUUUAUGUAUUCAUUAGUAUUAUUAUUUUUUGAGACUGAGUCUUAAACUGUCACCCAGGCUGGAGUGCAGUGGCGGCAUCUCGGCUCACUGCAACCUCCACUUCCCAGGUUCAAGGGAUUCUCCUGCCUCAGCCUCCUGAGUAGCUGGGAUUAUAGGCGCCCAUCACCAUGCCCAGCUAAUUUUUGUAUUUUUAGUAGGGACGGGGUUCGCCAUGUUGGUGAGGCUGGUCUCCAACUCUUUUUUUUUUUUUUUUUUUUUUUUGAGACGGAGUCUCGCUGUCUCCCAGGCUGGAGUUCAGUGCCUCAAUCUCGGCUCACUGCAAGCUCCACCUCCCGUGUUCUCGCCAUUCUCCUGCCUCAGCCUCCCCAGUAGCUGGGACUACAGGCGCCCGCCACCACACCUGGCUAAUUUUUUGUAUUUUUAGCCAUGGGGUUUCACCAUGUUAGCCAGGAUGGUCUCAAUCUCCUGACCUCGUGAUCUGCCUGCCUCGGCCUCCCAAAGUGCUGGGAUUACAGACAUGUGCCACCACGCCUGGCUAAUUUUUUGUAUUUUUAGUAGAGAUGGGGUUUCACCGUGUUGGCCAGGCUGGUCUCGAACUCCUGACCUUGGAUGAUCUGCUCGCCUCGGCCUCCCAAAUUGCUGGGAUGACAGACGUGAACCACCGUGCCUGGCCGACAGUCACCUUUAGAAUGUGAACAGUGGACACUGUGUUGGGGUCUCCUACCUGUGCCUGUGAUGUGGACUGGCCCAUCUCGUCAUGGACAAGUAGAGAUGGGGUUUCACCAUGUUGAGCAGUCUGGUCUUGAACUUCUGACCUCGUGAUCCACCCGCCUCAGCCCCCCAAAGUGCUGGGAUUACAGGCGUGAGCCACCGCGCCCGGCCUGAGACGGCUUUCCAAGGCUGCAGAAAUGAAGUCUGCAAUAGCAGAUCCUCUUUGCCUGGGUUUGCACGUGAUCCAGCAAACCACCCACCGACCCGUUGCCUCAUGUGAGACAUCCUCAGGGAACAGCAAGAAUUUUGAAGGUCCCUGAUAAGACAUCUUUGAGGUCAGGCAUAAAUCAUCACUUCACAUCUUGACGGCAAUGCAACGAAGACAAGUAUCUGUCUCUUUGGGUCUGUCUAACAAGGAGCAAAGCCUGGCCUCCCACCAGCAUCCAGACAAUAGUGGAUUCCCUCUCCAUAGAUGUCAAAAAAGAAACAGAUGCUCCCGCAGGUGAAAUGAGCUCUGGUCCACAAUGCAACGCAGGCUGUGCAGAAAAUCAAAGAGGAACCAACCCAGAAGUAUCCCCCAGGACAAAUCAUUAAGGGGGAAAAGGUCUCUGCAAAUGUAAUGAGUCCAGACACCAAGGGAAACGGAGAAGAUAAGAAGCAGAGAUUGAGGACAAUCCAUGUCCAUUUACCUGUGUUCUGUGAGACAGAUGAAGCCUGGACUUCUGCUAUCCUGCCCUUGCUGGGAAUGAGCAGGGUUGUACCUGCACUCAUCAUGGAAUAAGCACUAAAGAAACAAAGCUACAACAGAAGAUGUCCUCUACUGCAGGGCACCUUACAUUCCAAUCCUCCAAUAUGGCAGCGAGUCAAAAUCUCAAAAGACCUGAGUGCCUUCUGCGUAAGUCCCCGUAGGCUUCUAGUAUUCAUUUUACAAGUAUACUGAUGCUCUCAGUUGAUGCUGAGGGGGUGGCUGUUCAUGAAGAUGAUGGAAUUGGCUUCGGCAGAGGUCUCUCUUUGACCAUCUAGAGGCACUGUUGCUUAUCUAUCAGGAAACGGAGGGAGGCACUGGGAAUUUGAACUCGAGCUCUGGAGUUCUUCCAUGCAGCUGUGUUUACGUAUCAUCAAGCACCGAUUCAUUGCCCGUUGGGACAGAGGAGAAUCAGGCCUGGUCUGGCAUCAUUGCCGGGUGGGUGUGAAAUGCCACUUCUACCGAGACCAACUGGAAAUGAAAGAUCGUCAACAGUCAAAAAGGUCACUGCAUAAAUGCCUGUGAAGUCCAAGUAACUGUCAGAGACAGAAUACGCUUUGCAGCGGAGAGUUUUCCAGGAAAGAAAAAUGGUCUCUGUGAAUGUUCUUUGGGAGGCCACGGAUGGCUUGUUCUGAAGUGAAUGGAAUUGCUUUGCAGAAGACGCAUAGCCAGGCUGAGUUCAGGAGGUAUCUCUUUUUUUUUUUUUUUUUUUUUUUGAGACGGAGUCUCGCUCUGUUGCCCAGGCUGGAGUGCAGUGGCACAAUCUCAGCUCACUGCAACCUCUGCUUCCCGGGUUCAAGCAAUUCUCCUGUCUCCACCUCCCGAGUAGCUGGCAUUACAGGCACUGCCACCAAGCCUGGCUAAUUUUUGUAUUUUUAGUAGAGAUGGAGUUUCACGAUGUUGGCCAGGCUAGUCUCGAACUCCUGACCUCAAGUGAUCCACCCACCUCAGCCUCUCAAAGUGCUGGGAUAACAGACGUGAGCCACUGCACCCGGCCCAGGAGGUGUCUUAAUCCAUUUGCUGUUGCUACAACAGAGUAACACCGUCUGGGUAAUUCACAGAAGAAGUUUAUUUUGUAAAGUCCUGGAGGCUGGCAAGUCCAAAAGGCAUGGUGCCUGCAUCUGAUGAGAGCCUCUUGCUAUAGUACAACAUAGUGGAGGACUUAUAAUGCCACCAGCUCUGUCCAUGUGGGCCUCGCUUUGAUGAUCUUACCUAAUUCUAAUUGUCUCCUAAGGGUGCCACUCCAAAUACUACAACAUACUAAUUUGAGAGAGAAGUUUCCAACACAUGAAGCUUGGGAGACACAAACCAUACAGGGUGGAGUCAAGACGGCUUGUUUAAUUCGGCCAACUUGAGCAAAGAGGCAUAAUGGUUAUUGCCUCUCUGGGUUCACUAAACACAUAAACAUGCCCACACUAAUAAUUCAUGUCGACCGCAGUACUCUCUGCUUUUCCUGAAUAGCAUAUUGUGUUGAACAGGUUAUACGACCUUGGGUAGAGACUUAGCUCUCUUUAAGCCUCCAUUUCUCAUCUGUAAAAUGAGAAUGAAAGAUGGUUUCUCCGUAUUUAUGGAAGGGUUCCAACAAGGUAAAGUGUGUAGCGUACUUUGUCAAUUCUAAAGCACUCUUCUGAUAUAAAUUAUAGCAUCCCCGGAUUCAUUGUUUGAGUUGGUUUCUUUUUUAAAAUUAAUUUCUGUUGUAUGUAUUUAAGGUGUGCAACAUGAUUUUUUGAUAUAGUGACAUAGUGAAAUGAUUAUAAUUGUUAAGAAAAUGAACACAGCUAUCAUCUCACAUAUUUACCUUUUUUGCGACAAGAGCACCUUAAAUCUACUCUCUUAACAAAAAUCCUAAAUAUGAAAUGUAUUAUAGUCCUUAUAUUUUGCAUUUGAUUUCUAGACUUAUUCUACAUCAUCUAUAACAACCACCAUUUUUUCUAUUUCUAUAUAUUUUCUUUCUUCCUUCCUUCCUUCUUUCCUUUCUUCCUUUUUUCUGAUAAGGAGUCUCGCUCUUUCGCCCAGGCUGGAGUGCAGUGGCGUGAUCUUGGCUCACUGCAAGCUCCGCCUCCCGGGUUCACGCCAUUCUCCUGCCUCAGCCUCCUGAGUAGCUGGGACUGCAGGCACCCACCACCAUGCCCAGCUAAUUUUUUGUAUUUUGUAUUUGCCUUCCUUUCUUUUUCAUUUCCUUCUUUCUGCCUUCUUUUCAUUCUUUUAUUUUUGUAGAUUCUUUAUAUAAGUGAGAUCCAAUACUUUUAACUGAAUGUGAACAUUUCUUUUACAAAAUAAAAUGUAUGUUCAGGCUUUUACUUAAUCCAUGCUAGUAAGAGCCUGGUUCAAAAAUGAGCUGCAGGUUUUUUCAAAGAGAAUCACAAUCAUUUCUGUGGAAUAGGUGAAGUGAAAGACAUUUUUAGAAAGUUUGCAUCUUUUUGCAGAGACUUUUAAUGAAGGGGUUUAUGUUUUCCGCUCUGUUCGUUUACUGAAAGCAAAAGAAGAAAAGUGAGGAAGGGAUUAUACAAAGAAAGUGACUGAAAAAUUCUGAAAAUAUCUGUUUUCAUAAGAUAAGAGCUUUAUUCUAGUUCUGAACAUAUAAUCAUAGUCAUCAUUGUCCUUAUUUAAAUAAAAACAGCUAGCUGGGCAACUUAGUCUCAUUGAAAUUCCUGAGAUCUUCAUUCUUUCUUGGUAUUUGGCUGAAAAAAGAAUAAGUUUAUCUCAUUCUUUUCCCAAAGUAUAGCACAAGGUUGAGAGCCUGGACUCGUGGCAUGCAUACCUAAUGAGACCGUUGUAUUACUUGGGGUGAAACUCCUUCCAUUUGACUUGAUGUAGUUAUUUUCUUUUUCUUGCAAGGGAAGCAAACUUUGGGUUCUACCUGGGUCUUCCUUAAGCAUCAGGUGUGUUUCAAAUGGAUAGAUUUAAUAAUAAUUGAUCCACUAAUAAUUGAUCCACUGGGCAAUGAUUUUUUAAAUGUUUGUUUUCAAAUUUAAAACAAUGCCUCAAGUUUAGAAAUGCCUCUCCUCGGCCGGGC
rnacentral:lncRNA from 10 species